rfam:Felis catus isolate Cinnamon breed Abyssinian chromosome C2, whole genome shotgun sequence.
GCCUGGGUGGCUCAGUCAGUUAAGCGUCUGACUUUAGCUCAGGUCAUGAUCUCACAGGUCAUGGGUUCGAGCCCCGUGUCGGGCU